UGAAAUUGGUUUUGGGUCUUGGCUUGCUGGCUCAGGCACCCAUGAUGGGGCUUCACCCCUCUUUUUUUAUUUUUCACCCUAUUUUAUUUCUUAUUUUGUUUUAUUUAUUUUUGUUGAUCUGUCUUAACUUAUGGGCCUUAAUCCCAAUGUUUUUAUCAUCAUACAUAUCUCCCCCAUGUUAAUAUGCACUCCACCCUUUUUAUUUU
rnacentral:lncRNA from 1 species